ACGGACUUCGGUCUGGUGGCGAGUGGCGAACGGGUGAGUAAUGUAUCGGAACGUACCUUUCAGUGGGGGAUAACGUAGCGAAAGUUACGCUAAUACCGCAUAUUCCGUGAGCAGGAAAGCAGGGGAUCGAAAGACCUUGCGCUGAUUGAGCGGCCGAUAUCAGAUUAGCUAGUUGGUGGGGUAAAGGCCUACCAAGGCGACGAUCUGUAGCGGGUCUGAGAGGAUGAUCCGCCACACUGGAACUGAGACACGGUCCAGACUCCUACGGGAGGCAGCAGUGGGGAAUUUUGGACAAUGGGGGCAACCCUGAUCCAGCCAUGCCGCGUGAGUGAAGAAGGCCUUCGGGUUGUAAAGCUCUUUCGGCCGGGAAGAAAUCGCAUAGGCUAAUACCCUGUGUGGAUGACGGUACCGGAAUAAGAAGCACCGGCUAACUACGUGCCAGCAGCCGCGGUAAUACGUAGGGUGCGAGCGUUAAUCGGAAUUACUGGGCGUAAAGCGUGCGCAGGCGGUUUCGUAAGACAGAGGUGAAAUCCCCGGGCUCAACCUGGGAACUGCCUUUGUGACUGCGAGGCUAGAGUAC
rnacentral:rRNA from 1 species